rnacentral:rRNA from 1 species
ACGAACGCUGGCGGCGUGCUUAACACAUGCCAGUCGAACGGAAAGGCCCUGCUUUUGUGGGGUGCUCGAGUGGCGAACGGGUGAGUAACACGUGAGUAACCUGCCCUUGACUUUGGGAUAACUUCAGGAAACUGGGGCUAAUACCGGAUAGGAGCUCCUGCUGCAUGGUGGGGGUUGGAAAGUUUCGGCGGUUGGGGAUGGACUCGCGGCUUAUCAGCUUGUUGGUGGGGUAGUGGCUUGCCAAGGCUUUGACGGGUAGCCGGCCUGAGAGGGUGACCGGCCACAUUGGGACUGAGAUACGGCCCAGACUCCUACGGGAGGCAGCAGUGGGGAAUAUUGCACAAUGGGCGGAAGCCUGAUGCAGCAACGCCGCGUGCGGGAUGACGGCCUUCGGGUUGUAAACCGCUUUCGCCUGUGACGAAGCGUGAGUGACGGUAAUGGGUAAAGAAGCACCGGCUAACUACGUG